CCUACGGGAGGCAGCAGUGGGGAAUCUUGCGCAAUGGGCGGAAGCCUGACGCAGCAACGCCGCGUGCGGGAAGAAGGCCUUAGGGUCGUAAACCGCUUUCAGGGGGACGAAGCUUCCGGGGUUAAUAGCCUACGGGGUGACGGUACUCCCAAAAGAAGGUCCGGCUAACUACGUGCCAGCAGCCGCGGUAAUACGUAGGGACCGAGCGUUGUCCGGAAUCAUUGGGCGUAAAGAGCGUGUAGGCGGCCUAGUAGGUCUCGUGUGAAAUCCCGUGGCUCAACCACGGACACGCACGGGAAACCCCUAGGCUCGAGUCCGGAAGAGGAGAGCGGAAUUCCUGGUGUAGCGGUGAAAUGGCGCAGAUAUCAGGAAGAACACCCGUAGCGAAGGCGGCUCUCUGGGACGGUACUGACGCUGAGACGCGAAAGCGUGGGGAGCAAACAGGAUUAGAUACCCUGGUAGUCCACGCCGUAAACGAUGGAUGNUAGUGUGGUAGGUGUCGACUACCUCCCGUCGCCGACGACUACGACGAUAAGUACACUCCCGCCGUCGGGGUAGGUACGGGCCGGCCGAACGGACGUAAAACCGUAACGAAACGGAAAGUUAGACGGCGUGAGACGUCGACCGAACGGACGACGACGAGGGAGGUAGG
rnacentral:rRNA from 1 species